rnacentral:rRNA from 1 species
GGAUAACUUCAGGAAACUGGGGCUAAUACCGGAUAGGAGCUCCUGCUGCAUGGUGGGGGUUGGAAAGUUUCGGCGGUUGGGGAUGGACUCGCGGCUUAUCAGCUUGUUGGUGGGGUAGUGGCUUACCAAGGCUUUGACGGGUAGCCGGCCUGAGAGGGUGACCGGCCACAUUGGGACUGAGAUACGGCCCAG